AAUAAACUUAUCACAAUCGCGGUAAAACCGGGAUAAGGAAACUCUGAGUGCCCGUAAGGAAGCUCUCGUGUCAGUUUAAAGAACUGGCGAAGAAAGGGACGGGCCAGACCGGUGCCAGCCGCCGCGGUAAUACCGGCGGCUCGAGUGGGGGCCACUUUAAAUGGGGUUAAAGCGUCCGUAGCUUGAUUGUUAAGUCUCUUGGGAAAUCUACCGGCUCAACCGAUAGGCGUUCAAGGGAUACUGGCAUUCUAGGGACCGGGAGAGGGGAGAGGUACUCCAGGGGUGGGAGUGAAAUCCUGUAAUCCUUGGGGGACCACCUUGGGGGAAGGCGUUUCACUAAAACGGCUCCGACAGUGAGGGACGAAAGCUUGUGGAGCAAACCGGUUUAAAUACCCGGGUAGUCCCAGCCGUAAACAAUGCGCGUUAGGUGUAUCGGGAACCACGAGUCACCGAGGUGCCGAAGGGAACCCGGGAAACGUGCCGCCUGGGAAGUACGGUCGCAAGGUGAAAACUAAAAGGAAUUGGCGGGGGAAAGGGCAAAUUCUUUUAAACUUGCAGAACUAGUCCCUUUAUGGAGGGUUAUUUCUGAGCUUGGCGUAUUCAUGGCAUAGUUGUUUCCUA
rnacentral:rRNA from 1 species